rnacentral:rRNA from 1 species
CUACGUGCCAGCAGCCGCGGUAAUACGUAGGUCCCGAGCGUUGUCCGGAUUUAUUGGGCGUAAAGCGAGCGCAGGCGGUUAGAUAAGUCUGAAGUUAAAGGCAGUGGCUCAACCAUUGUAGGCUUUGGAAACUGUUUAACUUGAGUGCAGAAGGGGAGAGUGGAAUUCCAUGUGUAGCGGUGAAAUGCGUAGAUAUAUGGAGGAACACCGGUGGCGAAAGCGGCUCUCUGGUCUGUAACUGACGCUGAGGCUCGAAAGCGUGGGGAGCGAACAGGAUUAGAUACCCUGGUAGUCCACGCCGUAAACGAUGAGUGCUAGGUGUUAGACCCUUUCCGGGGUUUAGUGCCGUAGCUAACGCAUUAAGCACUCCGCCUGGGGAGUACGACCGCAAGGUUGAAACUCAAAGGAAUUGACGGGGGCCCGCACAAGCGGUGGAGCAUGUGGUUUAAUUCGAAGCAACGCGAAGAACCUUACCAGGUCUUGACAUCCCUCUGACCGCUCUAGAGAUAGAGUUUUC